rnacentral:rRNA from 1 species
UACGGAGGGUGCAAGCGUUAUCCGGAUUUACUGGGGUUAAAGGGUGCGUAGGUGGGUCUGUAAGUCAGUGGUGAAAUCUCCGAGCUUAACUCGGAAACUGCCAUUGAUACUAUAGGUCUUGAAUUAUCUGGAGGUAAGCGGAAUAUGUCAUGUAGCGGUGAAAUGCUUAGAUAUGACAUAGAACACCAAUUGCGAAGGCAGCUUACUACGGAUUGAUUGACACUGAGGCACGAAAGCGUGGGGAUCAAACAGG